ACCUGCAUCGAAAGUGAUUUUGGCUCUAUCAGUCGCCUGGUCAUUGAUACUGCAGGGAAAGUAUUAUGUGAAACUUUUUCCCGUGUUUGGGGGCAAUGCCUUUGGUGCCUACCAAGCCCUGUUAGCUUCACACA